rnacentral:lncRNA from 1 species
AUUAUAACCUGUUCAUAUCUGUAUAGCCAGUUUGAUUCUUUUCCAUUUUUUCCCAGAACUUCAACUGGAAGAAAAUAAGUGUAUCAUUCCUUAUGCUGGAAAUCUACCUCAUAUUCUCUCAUCCUUGGGAGCUACUUUUGUUAAAAAGGAAGAAUACUGCCAAGGAACCGUGUGAGUAAAGUAACCACAGGAGAAGGGCUUGUUCAGUAGCUGACUUUCAGAAUAAACUAUUCCUUUAGGAGACCA